rnacentral:rRNA from 1 species
GACGUAGGGCGCGAGCGUUGUCCGGAUUUAUUGGGCGUAAAGAGCUCGUAGGCGGCUCGUCACGUCGGCUGUGAAAACCCGGGGCUCAACCCCGGGCCUGCAGUCGAUACGGGCGAGCUAGAGUUCGGCAGGGGAGACUGGAAUUCCUGGUGUAGCGGUGAAAUGCGCAGAUAUCAGGAGGAACACCGGUGGCGAAGGCGGGUCUCUGGGCCGAUACUGACGCUGAGGAGCGAAAGCGUGGGGAGCGAACAGG